AAUGAACGUUGGCGGCGUGGAUUAGGCAUGCAAGUCGAACGCUCCGCAAGGGGCGUGGCGUAAGGGUGAGUAAUACGACGGUAACCAACCCCAAAGCCGGGCAUAGCCGCGGGAAACUGCGGGUAAUUCCCGGCGAGGCCGCUGGAGGACAUCCUCUGGCGAUCAAAGGUGCGAUUCCGCUUUGGGACGGGCCGUCGUGGUAUCAGGUAGUUGGUGGGGUAACGGCCCACCAAGCCGACGACGCCUACCGGGCGUGCGAGCGUGGCCCGGCACACUGGGACUGGGACACUGCCCAGACACCUACGGGUGGCUGCAGUCGAGAAUCUUCGGCAAUGGGCGCAAGCCUGACCGAGCGACGCCGCGUGGAGGAUGAAGGCCCUCGGGUUGUAAACUCCUGUCGAGGGGGACUAAGGCGCUGUGCAGAGCAGCGUUUGAGGUAUCCCUGGAGGAAGCACGGGCUAAGUUCGUGCCAGCAGCCGCGGUAAAAC
rnacentral:rRNA from 1 species